UUGUGACCGUAGUAAUGGGCAUGUCUAAAAAAAUCUCAUGCUCAUUUUUACGUUCACAAAA
rnacentral:pre_miRNA from 1 species